UCGCGUAUGCAUUUUUUUUAUAGUUAUUUACGUGUCAGAAUAAUUCGACAAUAUUAUCAGCUCACCGAUAUCUAUGAUUAAAUUGCAUCGUUUCAUUCAAAUCCACUGUCGCCGCUGUUACCGGACAAUAAUAUUCAGUUGAACAAGCACACACACACACAUAUAUUUUAUGCACAGUAAGUUUUUCAUGAUAUGUAUUGUAAAUACGUAGUACAUGGCUUCAUCGCUAAAAACUCGCGGGUGGUUAUUCAUCCAGGAAUUAGCAAUGCCAGAUGGUGUUUAAUUGCAAUGCUAAUCAGUGACUGCAUCGAAACAUUAAGCCACACCAUACCCCUGUUUUACUUUUAUAUCAAGCUGAACUAAUGGUAAUGAAAUGAGAGAUCUUAAUGAUAGCUGGAGAACGAGCGUGAACAAAAUACUAUACCCAUAUAAUGUGUACAACAACUAAAAAGUUAUUUUUUCAAAAUGGUAAUCUUACGGUUUAAAAGCGGACUGAUACGGGAGAGAAACCAUAUCAAUGCGAAGUGUGUCUCAAGUCGUUCGUUGGCAGCAGUAAUCCUAGAUCCAUCGGUUAGGACGGUCAUUCGCUUGUACAUGUCACAGUGCCGCAAAUCAUUUUGGUGAAUGCCAACCGGAACUCGGGACUGAAAACGGUGUAGAUGAUUGGGUUCAGGGUGGAAUUGAAGU